CUAAAAGGUUGUGUGCUCAUGUCCACAGUAUUCAGCAAAAUAAUCGAGGCUGAUAUUCUAGUGCAAUACUCAGAAUGCUGCAGAGUUGGAGGUCCCAUCUUUUUGGAUGAGAUAUUAAACUGAGGCCUUGUCUACUCAGGUGUCAGUGCUUCAAGGCCAUUGGCAAAAUCAUAUUUUCCUUUUUUGCAUGGAGAUGUCAGCUCUACUUGUAUGCAAUGGACUAAACAUACUAUUUUACAAGGAAAUAACAAAGAAAUCAGAGAAAUGGUGGUGAAAGUUGCUAACAAUCUUGUCCAACAAAGAACACAGCAUCCACUGGAAGCAUCUGAAUAAAAAAU